GUUAGCUGCAACUUUAUACUUUGGCUAUCCAUACCCAACUACGACUCAAAACGUCCCAGCGUACAGAACAGUAACACUUCUCUCCAAAUAUCUGAGCUUGAGUAUACGCGGAAACCCAACACCAUGUUUCCCAUGGGGUAUGGGUGAUAUGACCUUUCGGGCUGU
rnacentral:ribozyme from 1 species